AUUGAACGCUGGCGGCAGGCCUAACACAUGCAAGUCGAGCGGCAGCGGGACCUUCGGGUUGCCGGCGAGCGGCGGACGGGUGAGUAAUGCCUAGGAAUCUGCCUGUUAGUGGGGGAUAACGCGGGGAAACUCGCGCUAAUACCGCAUACGUCCUACGGGAGAAAGCGGGGGCUCUUCGGACCUCGCGCUAACAGAUGAGCCUAGGUCGGAUUAGCUAGUUGGUGGGGUAAUGGCCCACCAAGGCGACGAUCCGUAACUGGUCUGAGAGGAUGAUCAGUCACACUGGAACUGAGACACGGUCCAGACUCCUACGGGAGGCAGCAGUGGGGAAUAUUGGACAAUGGGCGAAAGCCUGAUCCAGCCAUGCCGCGUGUGUGAAGAAGGUCUUCGGAUUGUAAAGCACUUUAAGUCGGGAGGAAGGACUGUAGGCUAAUACCUUGCAGUUUUGACGUUACCGACAGAAUAAGCACCGGCUAACUUCGUGCCAGCAGCCGCCGUAAUAC
rnacentral:rRNA from 1 species